GUAGGUGGCAAGCGUUGUCCGGAAUUAUUGGGCGUAAAGCGCGCGCAGGCGGUUUUUUUAGUCUGAUGUGAAAGCCCACGGCUCAACCGUGGAGGGUCAUUGGAAACUGGAGAACUUGAGUGCAGAAGAGGAGAGCGGAAUUCCACGUGUAGCGGUGAAAUGCGUAGAGAUGUGGAGGAACACCAGUGGCGAAGGCGGCUCUCUGGUCUGUAACUGACGCUGAGGCGCGAAAGCGUGGGGGGGAGCAAACAGGAUUAGAUACCCUGGUAGUCCACGCCGUAAACGAUGAGUGCUAAGUGUUAGAGGGUUUCCCGCCCUUUAGUGCUGCAGCAAACGCAUUAAGCACUCCGCCUGGGAGUACGGUCGCAAGACUG
rnacentral:rRNA from 1 species